CCAGCGCCGCCCUGCCAGGUGGCACCUCCUCCAAAGGAAAUUGAACCUUCGGAUUUGAAAGGGAAAAAUAAAAAUUAAUUGAAGUAGCCGGGUCUUUUCCUCCCUAUCGACAUCCGGGUUUAAUGAAAAAAAAAAUUGGAGACCGGUUUGCAGCCAGGAGCAAGAUUGUCUCGCCGUCCCUGGCCGCCCGCAGAGCCCCGUCUAUCUGGAAGGAGAGUGGAUUAAGUAGGAGGAUUUUUUUUGCCAAAGUCAGCAGCUACGGCGGAGACGCCCCGACUCCCUCCAGCCGCUGGGCCAGCGCCCAGGAGCCCCAGGGAGGGGGCAGGGGGGCAGCCGGUCUGCCGGCGCCCACCGCAGCCCUCGUGCACCCCCUGGUUGGGCCUCCUGGACUCUUCGGGUGCCCCCCCCACCGCGAACCCCCUGUGGCGCAAGGGCCAGGGGACGCCCGUGUGCCGCUGGAGGUGCUGCCCUGUGCCUGCCCCUCCCGGCCUCCCCAGCAGGGCACCACACCCUGGAACCAGCCACAGAUGACAGCCCCCGACAACAGGCAUUGCUGGCCAGCGGGAAAGGGCCAGGGGCUCCUCCUCUGGCACUCUGGCAGGAGCAAAGGGACAAAGGGGCCGGAACAGAGAGGCCGAGGGCGGCCAGCUGCGGGCCCCCAGGAGCUUCUCAUACAGGUUUUACAGGUCUGCCGGGAGGGAGGCGGAGGCCGAGGCCAUUCAUUACAAAUUGGUUCAGGGAGCCGAGGGCUGGAGAAGGCGUUUCCACAGCCCAGCUCCCACUUCAGGUGGAAUUCCGGCUCUUUCCAGGAUGAGCCCCUGGAGCGAGCACCGGUCUGGGAGCCGCCUUCCCUGAGGCUCUCUGGGCCUCCCUUUUCCAACUGCCAGCCAAGGGGCUGGGCUAGAGCGUCUCUCCAGCGAUUCCUGAGUCCAGGGACAGUAAUAAAAAGAAUAACAGCGAGCGCUGGCACCCGCAUGACUCUUCCCGCACCACGGAGGAGGAGGGGCCAGGGACGGGGCGGUCAGUGCAAAGGCCCUGGGGAGGCAGCCGGCUCCCCAUCCUGCCCGACUCCAAAGUCCCUUCUCAGGUUUCCUGGUAAAACCGCGUCUAUGGUUCUGCCGGCCGAGGCUUACUACUUUACCUUCCAUCUUCUCCUCAUCCACUAAAAAUAAAGAGGUGUGUCUAGACUCUAAAGGCCUCCGCUAGGGCCCUGGCGGUUAGCAGAUGUCAGCUGGGCCACGGAGCUCCGGGCCUGGGUCUUUAUUCUCGGGGGAGGAGAACGUGAAGGACCCCAAGCCCGCGGAGGCUCCACCUGCCCACAGACGGUUUCCACAGUCACCAUCUCCCCUCCUCUACCAGGAUCCCCGGGACCCCCAGGCCUGCCCCCCCCCCGCCCACCCUCUAGGCAGGGCUCUCAGCUGCCAGGGGCGCGCUGGGCGGGGGCGUUCUUGUUGGGGGGGUGCUCUCGAGUGUUGUAGGAUGUUUAGCAGCAUCCUUGGCCACUACCCUCUAGGUGCCAGCAGAGUCAAAAUUGACUCCAGAUAAUGACCCAGUGUCCCAACCAAUUGUCCCCAGGUUGAGGACCGCUGCUCUAGAGGCUAAGGGUACAGGGAGGCAGGAUACCCUGCUUCAAAGGGCCCUUCUGCCCUUAGCGGGUGGCAUCUGCCGAGCUUCUCCACCCCUCUAAAACUCAGUCUUCUCAUCUGUAAAGUGGGGUUCAGAAUGAUACACAAGGGCGUGCUCUGAGAAGUCUGUGAGCUAAAGCACUGAGAAGCACAUGGGAUGCUUAGCCCAGCACCUGGCAAAUGUGCUUUAAGAAGGAAAUGGUAGGGAGUGGCUGAGCUCCUGCUUCCCAGGUACGAGGUCCUGGGUUCAAUCCCUGGUACCUCCUAAAAAAAAAAAAAAGGAAAUGGUCAUGGAAUGGGUGAAACAAGUAGUGUAGCCCAAAGAAGAUUAACAAGAGUCACCAGAGCUGGGUUGCCUUGCCCCAACUCGGGAGAAGGGGUGCUACUGAGAUCUAGUGGGUGGAGGUAGGGAUGCUGCUAAACCUUCCACAAUGCACAGGACAGCCCCCCACAACCAACAAUUCAUCCACCCAACAUGUCAGUGGUGCCAAGGUUGAGAAAUCCUACAUUAGAUCAAGUGAACCUCCUUGCCUUUCCCUUUCUGCCUUGGUCACUGGGAAGCUCAAAGCAAAGCUUAUACUCAACUUCCACAGCCUUUCUCAGCUUAGCAUUCUGAUUCAAAUCUUUCUCCACCCCUUCCCCUCUACCCAUCUUCAAUAGCUUUACACCUUUUUCUCUUAUCCUUCCUUCAAUGAGCCUACAAGAAUUUUGUCUCUCUUUAAUCAUUUUUUUACUGUUUUAAGGAGAAGACAGUAUAUAAACCAAAACUGAAAUAAAUUCCUAUU
ensembl:lincRNA